AAAAAAAAAAAAAAAAAAAGAAGAAGAAGUGGCUUGAGCUUCUCUGGGCUGGCAGAAGACUAGGAGAAUAACUAGAAAUUAGAUGAGGCAUUCUCUAAAAUCUCGUGGCUUGGAAUCCAUGAGGACUCCAUUAACUGGCGACACCUCUCUGAACUGCUAUGGUCUCACACCUCCCAGUCUGGAGAUGAGAUGACAUCUCUGUCGGAGUAUGUGUCUUGCAUGAAGGAGGCACAGAAAUCCAUUAAUGACAUCAUUGGUGAGUGCAAAGAGCAGGUGGCCAACUCUGCUUUUGUGGAGCAAGUGUGGAAGCAGGGCUUCGAGGUAGUAUAUAUGAGUGAGCCCAUUGAUGAGUACUGUGUGCAGCAGCUCAAGCAAUUUGAUGGGGAGAGCCUGGUCUCAGUUACCAAGAAGGGUCUGGAGCUACCUGAGGAUGAGGAGAAGAAGAAAAUGGAGGAGAACAAGGUAAAGUUUGAGAACCUCUGCAGGCUCGUGAAAGAAAUCUUAGAUAAGAAGGUUGAGAAGGUGACAAUCUCCAGUAGACUUGUGUCUUCACCCUGCCACAUUGUGACCAGCACCUACGGCUCGAUAGCCAAUAUGAAGUGGAUCAUGAAAGCCCGGGCGCUUUGGGACAACUCUAUCAUGGGUUGUAUAAUGGCUAAAAAGCACUUGGCGAUCAACCCCAACCACCCCAUUGUGGAGACACUGCAGCAGAAGGCUGAGGCAGACAAGAACAACAAGGCUGUCGAUGACCUAGUGGUGCUGCUGUUUGAAACCACACUGCUCUCUUCUGGCUUCUCCCUUGAGGAUCCUCAGGCCCAUCCACCUGCAUCUACCCCAUGAUCAAGCUAGGUUAGCUAUUGAUGAAGAUGAGGUGGCAACAGAGGAACUCAGUGUUGCUGUUCCUGAUGAGAUCCACCUCCCUUGGGGGUGAUGAGGAUGUGUCUCACAGGGAAGAAGUAGAUUAAGAGUUUAUACUUGGAAACCUUGUGCCCCAUGGCUCCCACUGCAGCUUUGAGUGGUCCUGUCCCACCUGGCUCUCUCUGCUGAUGUCUAGUAAUUUUUUCUCUCCAAUCCUUGUGUCUAAGGCAGGAAACAAGGGCGUCAAACCCCAUUCCCUCCCUACUUUGACAGCAGAAUUGGAUGUUGUGUAUCAUGUUUUUUUGUUGUUGUUUAUUUUGUUCUGAAAUUAAAGACUGCAAAAUAAAGAAUAUGCUGUUUUUACACAGUAAAAAAAAAACACAAAGAAUUACUAUUUCUGGGGAUUAGCAACUAAAAGAGGAUGAAGGAAAAAAAAUUAUAAAAAAUACCCUAGAGCUGAGAGACAUUUACCAAAGAGACAAAUUUGGAUAGGGAUCCUUUCUUUAAAGUUGGGAUUCAGAAAUUACUGGCAAGGAUGUGGCAGCUCAUCAGAGAACUUCUUCCCUGGGCCAGAGCUGGUCCACGGUUGGUAGGCCAGUAUUGGUGGGUAGGGAACCACUAGUCAAAACUGGCAACAAAUUUUGCUGAAGGGUGAGCACCACAGGGUGUAUCACUUGCAUGUCUCUGGCACCCUGAAACCAGAAAGAAAAGUACUACUUCAGAGCCAUCUGUUGACAAAGCGUAUCACUAGCUGGCAAAAAGAGAAAUGUUUACAGGGUCCAAGAAGGCAGUGAAGUGUAGAUUAGGAGGAACCCAGAGGCAAUAAAUUGAUAACUGGCAUAAUGUCUUAUAAUCUAAUAGUGUCAGUCAUCUUUUUUUUCAGAAUUGUUUUGCUAUUCUAGGUCCUUUGCAUUCCCAUAUACAUUUUAGAGUUCCUUCUCAGUUUCUACAAUAAAACUUGCUGGGAUUUUGAUUGAGAUUAUGUUGAAUCUGUAGAUUAAUUUGGGUACAGUUGACAUUCUAAUACUGUGGAGUCUUUACAUUCAUGGACAUGAUGCCUCUCUCCAUUUACUUAGGUGGUCUUUAGUUUCCUUCAGAGUGUUUCAUUGUUUUCACCAGAGGCAUUGAACAUCUUGAUUCUUAAGUACUAUAAAAAUGCUAUUGUAAAUGAGAUUGUUUUUUAAAUUUCAUCUAACAGUGUUGGCUGCUAAUACACAACAUAUUAUUUUAUUUUUUUUUUUGAGACAGAGUCUUGCUCUGUCGCCCAAGCUGGAGUGCAGCGGCAUGAUCAUAG